CAGUGAUGUGGAGUAAAACUUAUAAAAGCGACCUCAGUUCGGAUUGAAGGCUGAAAUUCGCCUUCAUGAAGUCGGAAUUGCUAGUAAUGGCAGGUCAGCAUACUGCCGUGAAUACGUUCCCGGGCCUUGUACACACCGCCCGUCACACCAUGAGAGUUGGAGAUACCCGAAGCCUAUGAGCUAACUUUUAGAGGCAGUAGUCGAAGGUAGAAUCAAUGAUUGGGGUGAAGUCGUAACAAGGUAUC
rnacentral:rRNA from 1 species